rnacentral:snRNA from 1 species
AUCCUUGCCUGGAAGGAGACAGGUCAUGUUCACAAGAGUGAGCUCUCUAGGGCAAGCCUAUUCCAUUGCCUCCCACAUGUGUUGACCCAUUAUUUCCCCAAACAUGGGAAACUAGAUGCACAUUUGAGGUGGUAGGGACUGUACCCUCU